AUUUCUCAUGGGUACAUAGUGGAGGUGAUCUGUGUGUCUUAAAGCUUGGGGUGGUCCUGUGGCCUGUAGUAGAUGCAUAGGACAUCUUCAGUGGAGGGACAAUUUUAAAGCUCUGCCCCUGAAUCUUCCCAGUGUGCCUUGGGACCAGCAGUUUCUACUGCUUCAUCGUGGGACCCUGAGAGACCACUGCUCUUGGUAUCCAUGGCGUUAUGGAAGGACAGCACAUCCGAAACCUCCUUACAGGAGCAGCUGGAAACUAUGAGGUAUCAGGGUACUAUAAGAAGGAUGGAAGAUUUGCACGUCCAGCUGAGAGUGGGUAAACAAAUGAGCAGCUACGUGUCUUACCUAACUCAUACGGAGAAUGGACCUUUGAGAUGAGCUGUUUCCUGGAAUUCAAAGGAGGUGGACUUCCCGACGUUCACUGCUGUCCCGGGUCACAGGGCUCGGACAGUAUUCGCCAUGAUCACGGAGGAAAGAACAAAGUUUUAUUGCUCAAAAUGCUAUACGGGGGACCCUGAAGAAAAAGCCUGUGAUGCUGUCAAGUGCCUGCGGAGAGGGCCCGUAUGGGUUGGGUCUCAUGUCGUGGAACUGCAGCCUAGCCUUUAGCCAACAGCGACAACAACCACCAGAACAACAAAACCACAUCAGCUUCUGAGCACCACUGUGCACAAUGUGAGGGAGCUCAGAUUUAUUUCUAGUUUAGCCUUCAGCUGACCACACAGCUCACGUGACACCCUAGAUGCCGCUAGGUAAUACUCUAAAGCAGAGACCAAAGUCGACUUUUACCUGGACAUCUUACCCCU